CAAAACUUUCGGGGCUCCACUUAGCAAAAUUUCACUGUUACUUUCCGUUAGCAAAAAUAUUUUUUUACCGUCGAGUUAGCAAAAAGCUAAAUUUACUUGAUUUUAGUAAUUUUAAAGUUUAUCUUGCUUGAUUUUAGUAAAACGAAGGUUUUUUUAGCCGCUUUGUGUACAGACAGCAGCCGCCGCGUGUUGGGAGGAAAAAAACAAACUGACACAAUUGAACGCGGUUUCGAAAGUUUGAUUCUGGUGGUUCUGAAGGUGGCUAAAUCAACUACGAUAUACUAGUCUAAUCGACGCCGGAGGCGUACAGGUUACAACUCAAAAAGAAAUCCUCAACAGUCUGGAAAUGGAAAAAUCGAGACUGAAAAUUCAACGAGCUCCAUCGUUCUCCAUCCGACACACAACUCAGUGAAUUCGUUGGUAAGAAUGGCAUUGCAUUCCGCUCACCGGAAGGUGCGUCCCCAGGAUCGGAACUUCUGUUCUACAAAGUGUAAAAUUUUUUAAAGAAAAAUGUGAAAAAUAAAUUAAAAGUGAAUGAAAUUUGAGUAUUGUUUUUAAUAAUAAAACAUUCCCCCUAAAUCUCCAGAGAAAAACCACACAUUUUGAAAUUUCUGGUCCGGGCGAUCUUUUUCUCCGGUUUUUGCUAGAAAAGUGAGCAAAAAUUGCGGCGGCUAGAUUUUUCUCUCGUUUGCUAAAAUUUUAGUUCGAAAAAAUUGCUAAAUUGAUUGCUAAGAUUUUAGCUGGUCAAAUUUGAGCAAAAUUUUGCUAAUUUCCGGCCCCGAAAGUUUUGUGUGUAUACACACAA